rnacentral:rRNA from 1 species
CCCCUAGUAACUGCGAGUGAAGCGGGAAAAGCUCAAAUUUAAAAUCUGGCGGUCUUUUGGCUGUCCGAGUUGUAAUCUAGAGAAGUGUUAUCCGCGCUGGACCGUGUACAAGUCUCCUGGAAUGGAGCAUCAUAGAGGGUGAGAAUCCCGUCUUUGACAUGGACUGCCAGGGCUUUGUGAUGCGCUCUCAAAGAGUCGAGUUGUUUGGGAAUGCAGCUCAAAAUGGGUGGUAAAUUCCAUCUAAAGCUAAAUAUUGGCGAGAGACCGAUAGCGAACAAGUACCGUGAGGGAAAGAUGAAAAGAACUUUGGAAAGAGAGUUAAACAGUACGUGAAAUUGCUGAAAGGGAAACGCUUGAAGUCAGUCGCGUCAUCCAGGGAUCAACCUUGCUUUUGCUUGGUGCACUUUCUGGUUUGAUGGGUCAGCAUCAAUUUUGACCAUUGGAAAAAGGCUYUAGGGAAUGUGGCAUCCUCGGAUGUGUUAUAGCCCUUGGUCAUAUACAAUGAUUGGGAUUGAGGAACUCAGCAUGCCGCAAGGCCGGGUUUUUAACCACGUACGUGCUUAGGAUGCUGGCAAAAUGGCUUUAAUCGACCCGUCUUGAAACACGGACCAAGGAGUCUAACAUGCCUGCGAGUGUUUGGGUGGAAAACCCGAGCGCGUAAUGAAAGUGAAAAGUUGAGAUCCCUGUCGUGGGGAGCAUCGACGCCCGGACCAGACCUUUUGUGACGGUUCCGCGGUAGAGCAUGUAUGUUGGGACCCGAAAGAUGGUGAACUAUGCCUGAAUAGGGUGAAUCCAGAGGAAACUCUGGUGGAGGCUCGUAGCGAUUCUGACGUGCAAAUCGAUCGUCAAAUUUGGG